ACCUAAGCUAACCCUUCUCACACAGGACAGCAAAACCUGCAGCAAAACCUGCUCAUGUACACUCAAUCCCUUGUGUCACGCAGCAGUUGACACACAGGAUGGGGAGAAGCCCAUGGGCCCUGAUGAGGAGGGUCCCACACGAGUGUGGACACAGCUGGCUGAGAGCCACGCUGGACAAUGCUUGGAUGACCACGCCACCCGUUGCCAUGGAUUCUUGGAACACAACACAUGCAGUAAAGCUUGAGGCCAAGCCUGCUGCCCGUUGCCUCUUGUGCUGCUAGGCCUGAAGGAUGCUCCACAUUAAGAGCAAGGCAGGAAGGUCCUGC
rnacentral:lncRNA from 7 species